rnacentral:rRNA from 1 species
UGGGUCUCGUGGGACGUGUGCACAAAACCGAAACAUCUGGGAGGCCUAGGUUUCCGGGACAUGGAGUUGUUCAACCUGUCUCUCUUGGCAAGGCAGGCGUGGCGGCUCCUUCAGGAGGCAAUGACACUCAGUGCAAAAAUGUUGAAGGCAGUUUAUUACCCCACAGAGAGCAUUUUAGAAGCAGGACUAGGCAGUCAUCCCUCCCAGGUAUGGCAUGCGAUCCUGGACGGGCGGGAU